CCAGGAUAACAGAAGGUGGUUUGCUAGAUGGCAAGCGCAGUGCAUUCAAAAUGCACUUUGUGCAUGCACAUAUGCACUCGUCACGUGAUAGAGAAGCGGCAUCUACAACGAUACGCAAUCAUUUUCCCGGUGCCAGCAGUCGACAGUGUGAUAGUAGUGCAAAAAUUUUGACAUUCGUCAAAAUGGUUCGAGUGGAUGGCGAAAUUUCGUGACUUUUUUGACUGCGGUGGUGUGCAAUUUUAACUAAUUUUGGCGAUUUCCAGGCGGGGAAUUAGCGAAAAUGGGAAAUUUGCGGCUGCUAAUCGGGAAAGGCGGCCAUUUUGAUUAUUACUUAUCAGGAAUGGAUGUUUUCGCAUAAGGUGUGCUUCGCAGAAACAGUUUAGUUUCUUGAUGUACUGGACUAAAAUGAUCCAAAAAUAAGAAUUUGAAAGACAACAGAUUUUGGAUGUGAAGGAAUGAGCUGCACGAUGAAAACAGACAAAAAACGAACAGUAAUUCAAACGCUGAACAGAUACUGAAAUUUAGGGAAAAACGAAAGUUGCCAGUAGUGUGAUUUGGCAGCGAUGGAAAAAUUCGGUCAUUAUUUACACGCAUUCUAACUAACUGCUAAACAACAGAGGAUAUAUAUAUUAUGUGUUCUUAGUUAACUCUGAAAUAGAAAGUACAUUCAAGUGAAGAAAUCAAUCAAUCUAGAUUUGUAAACCCUCUGGCAACUACCUAUUAGUCUUAUGAUUACGAUUGGUCAACAACUUUAUUAUUAAAUUUUCUCUAAGGUCCAUUUGACGCAGAGUUAAAUUAAAACUAAAACUAGGACAAACACGACUUGUAUACGGGAAACAGGGAAAUCGCCGUCAAUGAUCUGACGAUUUUGUGUGGACAAGAUUGAUUUCGUGUGAUCAAUUCACAAAUUAGAAAUGCAAAAAUUGUAAGUCUGUAUUCAUCUAUUGUUUACUUGACACAGAAGAAGGGUUCAAACCUCUUAUGACAUCCGGCGCUUCAUUUUUAAUUUACAUACAAUUGAUUACUUGUUUACACCAAAAUUAUGUUGUACAAUAAUUAAUUAAUGCAAUCAUAUUUGUAUGUUUGAGAUAUUUGAUACUCUAUUAUUUAGUAGUAUCUGAAGUUUUAUGAGACAAGCUUAGUUAAGAAUAUCUGAGAGUUGUUACACAUGUUCAUAUAUUUAUAUACAAUACACUACAUAAAUGUUCAA